AAGACAGUGAAGAAACAUCACAAUCUCUACAAAUUGAUCUUGGGCCACUUCAAUCAGAUCAGCAGACAACUUCCUCUCAGGAUGGUCAAGGCAAAGGAGAUGAUGUAAUUGUAAUUGACAGUGAUGAUGAAGAUGAUGAUGAAGAAAAUGAUGGAGAACAUGAAGAUUAUGAGGAAGAUGAGGAUGAGGACGACGAUGAGGAAGAUGACACGGGGAUGGGAGAUGAGGGUGAAGACAGCAAUGAGGGAACUGGCAGUGCAGAUGGUAAUGAUGGAUACGAAGCUGAUGACGCCGAGGUAACUGCUUAGAGUUGGGGCUGCCUCCUUACCAACUGCGCCUACAGCGCUCACUGUCUUCCUGUCAUAGAGAAAAGCUUGUGUUACCAGGAUAAUAAAAGUCUUCAUAUCGUUGGA
rnacentral:lncRNA from 1 species